rnacentral:tRNA from 1 species
GAGAGGUUAAAAAGACCUGCUAACUCUUUAAUCUGGAAAAUGACCAGCCCUCUCU